rnacentral:misc_RNA from 1 species
UCUCCGUUGGUGAACCAGCGGAGGGAUCAUUACAGGAUCGAAAGACUCCUAUAACCCCUGUGAACUUACUACAAAUACGUUGCUUCGGCGGGUGCCCCGGGUCUCCCGGGGCGUUCAGCCCGCCGGCAGCCUUCAAAUUCUGUUUCUUUGCGUUGGCAUCUCGAGUAUACAAAAAUAAGUUAAAACUUUCGACAACGGAUCUCUUGGUUCUG